rnacentral:rRNA from 1 species
AUUGAACGCUGGCUGCAGGCCUAACACAUGCAAGUCGAGCGGAGCGGCGGACGGGUGAGUAAUGCCUAGGAAUCUGCCUGGGAGUGGGGGAUAACGACCGGAAACGGGCGCUAAUACCGAAUACUUUCAGAUUAGCCCAGGCCGGAUUAGCUAGUUGGUGGGGUAAAGGCCUACCAAGGCGACGAUCCAUCACUGGUCUGAGAGGGUGAUCAGUCACACUGGAACUGAGACACGGUCCAGACUCCUACGGGAGGCAGCAGUGGGGAAUAUUGGACAAUGGGCGAAAGCCUGAUCCAGCCAUGCCGCGUGUGUGAAGAAGGUCUUCGGAUUGUAAAGCACUUUAAGUUGGGAGGCGUUACCAACAGAAUAAGCACCGGCUAACUUCGUGCCAGCAGCCGCGGUAAUAC